rnacentral:lncRNA from 1 species
GGCAUUUAUCGAAUGUAUUCGUGAUGAUGAUGUAUUAUACAAUCCAGAUACCACAAUCAACACUCUAAUACUAAGGGCCCGUUUGGCACAGCUCCAGCUCCUGGUUCUAAGCGAGGAUCUGGAGGAGCUAUGCCAAACGAGUAUUUUUUUAAAUUGAUUCUCGUAUGGAGCCGAAAGAUUGGGAGUCGUUUUUGUGAAGAAAGGUGGGAUCUAAAAAAACCUGCUCCACCCUCCCUUAAAACAGCUCCUCAACCAACCAAAUAUGGACCUCCCCUUAAAAUUUGAUCGAAAUUACCCGCAAUUGCCAUUAGACAAAAACAUAAUGAGCCCUCCCGCAACCCUCCACGGCGCGCGCGUCCUCUGUCUCGUGAUCCCUUCCUAUCGCUGAAGGGAGCGGCGGCUAGGGUUUCGACCAUCUUCGCCGUCCUCUAGCGAGAGCUGUUCUGCUCGUCUGCGGUUCCCAGGUACGUGCUCUGCGGAUCCCGGCGUUCUGCUCCACUUUGCUUUCCGUUCUGUGGGAUUCUUGCUUGCGGAUCGCCACCGUGAUGGCAGCAGGGGCCGUGAAGUGGACAACUAGUACAUCCGCCACCGCUCGCCGUAUGCGCCACUGAUGAGCCGACCUUCAAAAAGGAAGGACGAUAAGGAGCCUAGCGAGGUCUCAAGCGAUAGCGGCUCGGAGUCUGGUGGGCGCCCACGAGUGCUGAGGGAGGAUGGGGGUCUUGGGGUCUGCAGGGAUGGAGGUGCGUUGCCAGCAAGCAAGAAGAGGAAGCACUCACCUGGAUUCCACGAUACGAAUGUUUCAAAGCUGCGGGCAAGAGAUGAGGUGUGGAGGAGAGGACCUGAUGCCAUAGCUACGGAGCUCCCUCUUCCUUCGCCGCCCCCUAUGUCUGCGGUUGGUGGGUGCUCACCAAUGGAUCCAGAAGUUUUGGUAGUUCCAAAUGAUGCUGAAAGGAUG